CCCCAACCAGGGAUUUGCCUCAGUACGGCGAGUGAAGCGGCAAAAGCUCAAAUUUGAAAUCUAGCACCUUCGGUGUUCGAGUUGUAAUUUGAAGAUGGUAACCUUGGGUUUGGCUCUUGUCUAUGUUCCUUGGAACAGGACGUCAUAGAGGGUGAGAAUCCCGUCUGAUGAGAAGCCCAUUCCUAUGUAAGGUACUAUCGAAGAGUCGAGUUGUUUGGGAAUGCAGCUCUAAGUGGGUGGUAAAUUCCAUCUAAAGCUAAAUAUUGGCGAGAGACCGAUAGCGAACAAGUACAGUGAUGGAAAGAUGAAAAGAACUUUGAAAAGAGAGUGAAAAAGUACGUGAAAUUGUUGAAAGGGAAGGGCAUUAGAUCAGACUUGGUGUUUUACGAUUAUCUUCUCUUCUUGAGUUGUGCACUCGUAUUUCACUGGGCCAGCAUCGAUUCGGAUGGUAAGAUAAUGGCAGUUGAACGUGGCUUCACUUCGGUGGAGUGUUAUAGCUUCUGCUGAUAUUGCCUGUCUGGAUCGAGGGCUGCGUCUUUUGACUAGGAUGCUGGCGUAAUGAUCUAAUGCCGCCCGUCUUGAAAACACGGGACCA
rnacentral:rRNA from 1 species